CAGCAGCCGCGGGAAUACGUAGGUGGCAAGCGUUGUCCGGAUUUAUUGGGCGUAAAGCGAGCGCAGGCGGUUCCUUAAGUCUGAUGUGAAAGCCCCCGGCUCAACCGGGGAGGGUCAUUGGAAACUGGGGAACUUGAGUGCAGAAGAGGAGAGUGGAAUUCCAUGUGUAGCGGUGAAAUGCGUAGAUAUAUGGAGGAACACCAGUGGCGAAAGCGGCUCUCUGGCCUGUAACUGACGCUGAGGCUCGAAAGCGUGGGGAGCAAACAGGAUUAGAUACCCCCGUAGUCCCUGUCUCUUAUAC
rnacentral:rRNA from 1 species